GAGGGUGUAGCUCAGUGGUAGAACACGUGCUUAGCAUGCAUGAGGUCCUGGGUUCAACCCCAGUGCCUCCU
rfam:Camelus ferus unplaced genomic scaffold scaffold1050, whole genome shotgun sequence.